rnacentral:rRNA from 1 species
UACGUAGGGUGCAAGCGUUGUCCGGAAUUAUUGGGCGUAAAGAGCUCGUAGGCGGUCUGUCGCGUCGGCUGUGAAAACCCGGAGCUCAACUCCGGGCCUGCAGUCGAUACGGGCAAACUGGAGUGUUGCAGGGGAGACUGGAAUUCCUGGUGUAGCGGUGAAAUGCGCAGAUAUCAGGAGGAACACCGGUGGCGAAGGCGGGUCUCUGGACGGUUUCUGACACUAAGACUCGAAAGCGUGGGGAGCAAACAGG